rnacentral:rRNA from 1 species
UACGUAGGGUGCGAGCGUUGUCCGGAAUUACUGGGCGUAAAGAGCUCGUAGGUGGUUUGUCGCGUUGUCCGUGAAAACUCACAACUCAAUUGUGGGCGUGCGGGCGAUACGGGCAGACUGGAGUACUGCAGGGGAGACUGGAAUUCCUGGUGUAGCGGUGGAAUGCGCAGAUAUCAGGAGGAACACCGGUGGCGAAGGCGGCAUCCUGGACCGGCAUUGACGCUGAUGAGCGAAAGCUAGGGGAGCAAACGGG